rnacentral:rRNA from 1 species
CCCAGACUCCUACGGGAGGCAGCAGUGAGGAAUAUUGGUCAAUGGGCGGGAGCCUGAACCAGCCAAGUCGCGUGAGGGAAGAAGGUACUGAGUAUUGUAAACCUCUUUUGCCAGGGGACAAAGGCGGCCACGGGUGGCCGUAAGAGGGUACCUGGAGAAAAAGCAUCGGCUAACUCCGUGCCAGCAGCCGCGGUAAUACGGAGGAUGCGAGCGUUAUCCGGAUUUAUUGGGUUUAAAGGGUGCGCAGGCGGCGUGUCAAGUCAGCGGUAAAAUGUCGGGGCUCAACCCCGGCCGGCCGUUGAAACUGGUUUUCUUGAGUGAGCGAGAAGUAUGCGGAAUGCGUGGCGUAGCGGUGAAAUGCAUAGAUAUCACGCAGAACUCCGAUUGCGAAGGCAGCAUACCGGCGCUCAACUGACGCUCAUGCACGAAAGUGUGGGUAUCGAACAGGAUUAGAUACCCUAGUAC